AUUUGAAAUGUAAAUAAAGAAAAUAUCCAAUUAAAAAAAGAGAAAAAUUGUUUGUGCUGAUCUAAAUUAUGGUAGUUUUUGAUAUAGAUACUAAUAAAGAAGUAUACUAUUAUUAUGACACACUUUAAGAGUAUGAAUUAGUUCAUUUCAAUAGAAUUGCUUUAAAAUUUCUGCAUAAUUAGGUUCUUCAUUUGAAAUUUCAUUCUACUGUGGGAGUCCAUUUGAUGCACUUCACCAUAUUUAAAGGGAACUAGAGCCCAGAGAAGUGAAGAACUGCUUACUCAGGCAGCUCAUGUGGGCAUGCGUUAUUCCCUGGGAGAGAAGAGACCUAUGUUUCCUCCAGCAAAGCCUUUGUAUCAGGAUAUGGGAAGUGCUGUCAGCUGCCAGAUGAAGAAAGGAAACAUGUUUCACUGUAUCAUACAAGCAGGCCCACAGAAAUGGACACGUGCUUAUUUUUACUUCUCUAGAGAAUAGUGCUGAUUUCCAAGAAUGAACAAAUGCUGGGAUUGCAGGUUCACGAGGCUGUUUCAAUCAUAGUGAAGCCAUGCCUCCCUUAAGAAAAGCAAGUGAGAAUACAGAGUGCAUAAAUCAGGACCUCUAAAGAUGGAUCUGAUGAGUCCUUGGAGCUGUGACCUCUUGAUUAGACAAGGAAUAGAAUCCCUGAAGCAGGAAGGAGACACCCCGAAGAGAAUGAAGGUCCCAGAACACUGCAGCAGAGAGGAGAGAUGUGCAUCGUGGUUCUCUGGAAGUCUACAGAAAAGCAGCAGACUCAGUUUUGGCUUAAAUGACUUGCUUAUUUCUCUGCACCGAGUAGCAUGACAUGGCUCGGAAUAAACAGAAGUUAUUUUGAGUAUUCUCCAAGAGUGAUUUCUGAUCCCUGGACAUCUUGGAAGAAAACCAGCCUAAGCAAAGCUACAAAAGCAAACUGAGUAGAGCCCUGCCCUUUACCCCAGCACCAGGCCUAGCCACCUCCCUGGGCCUCUGGGUAGUCAUUCAUGUGUGAAAUCAAGGGACAGGACCUGGGGACUUCUAAGAUCCCUCCAUCUGGAAAAUUUCUGAUUUAUGUUCCACUGUCAAACAAAGUCUGAUGAUUUUUUUUUUUUUACCAAUACAUGCACAAAGUAAAUAUUUUUCAGUUCCACUGUAGGAAGAAGUCAGGAGAGACUUAGAACCACUUUUAGUAUAAAGAACUUGCCUCCCGGACUUACGGAUUUUACCACCACCAGGUCCUGGGGAGAGAGCCAAGAUGUUCUUCUACCCAGUUCACCCUCUUACCUUACCCUGACUACUCUAGCUAGACUAUGUGCCUCUCAAGACUCAGAGCUGUGACUGCUGAACUGACCCUGCUGUUCCCAGACCCCAGUGGGACCCUCUUUCCAGGCUUGGAUGUUGGAGUCUGACUAUAAAUAAUUUCCCCCAAGAAAAAGGCAGCCCUUUCCUAUCUACUCAGUCUUCUCACUUUCUUUGCCGAUUUCUUUCUUUUUGUGCAUGGCUGCUAUCUUAGCAGAAGUGAGCUGUUCCUACACAGUCUUUGGAUCCAAUACUCCUGGCUUUGGGUUCUGAUUCUGCCACAUGCUGUUCCUAACAGGGAGUCACCGGAUCUCUCUGGGUGUGGAUGUUUUCAUCCUUAGGCCCCCUUGUGAGUAUUUCCCUCCCAAGAUUAUUGCGAUGAGAAAAUGCAUGCAGCUCUUAGCAUGUAGGUAGGCAGCUUGAGAGAGAGAGAGAGAGAGAGAACACCACAUCAAUGCUGUCAUUGCUACCUGUGUGGACUGGGAUCUCAGCGAAACAGCCACAAAUGAGUUCAGCAUCGAAACACGUCUUCAGAACAUGCCAAUUAGAAGAACAUGUUUUCUUGAAAAUGUGUCUUAAACUAUUCCCGGCAUGGAAGACACUCAGGAUUCUGAGAAUAAACUCACCCCUGACCAUCCGUGGGGCAAGAACUGGCCUUCAGCCCAGUAUUUGCCAUUGAUGAAGAAGAGGCCUGCGAUCAUGAUGAACACCCACACUGCCAGGUUCAGCACAUUGAGGACGUUGUUGAAGCCCACAGAGUUUUUCACUCCCAGAGCCACAAUGAUGGUCACGAUGACGGCAAUCACCAGAGCCAGAAGGUCUGGGUACGACUCUUCCCCUUUCCCUAGGGGAGGAAGAUGUGAUUAAUAUUGUCUAAAGAAGGUGGACCCAUCCUCCCCCUUCGCACCUGGGCUGUUAUGACCCUUAGAGUGGUAGUCAGUCUGUCUUUCUCUGUACACACAACAUGUUACUGCUAUGGUCCAUAAGCAGAUAUGUGUUUAUCUACAAAUGAAGAAGUUAGCGACACAGAUAAGGUGACCUCAUGCCAUAGAUUGAAAUUCAGGACAUGUCACAGUGUACCUGUGGUGGCACAGCAAACAUGUGUACAGUCAGGAGCAUCUUGGGACAUUUGGAGCACAUAGAUAGGUCUAACCUAUUCUUUGAAAAUUCCUUCAUCUUCAUUAUUGUUAGCUUUGUAAUUGGCAUGAUUUUCCAUUCCCACAAUCUUUUCUUUAUUAGUACGUUUCAAAAUGUGCAUAUUUGAAAGCCAUUUUGGUGACUUUUCAUUUGCAGUGUGGGGUUGCAGAGAGAAGAUGCCUGGGGUAUAGUCCUGCUGAUGAACAGGUCCUGGUGCCUCGGACCAUCCAUGGCCCAGUGGACUUCUGCCCUCUACAGAGCAGAGGAGGCAUUGCCUCAGCAGCCGGGGAGCCUGGACUCCAGCUGCACUUUUGCAGGCAGCCUCAUCUGCAAAGUGCACCUGAGGACAGGUCGGAAGAGCUGAAACUCUUCAGGCUGAGAGGAGGCAUACACUACACACCGUUAUGUAGGACUGUAGAGAGAGUUGACAUGCUCUUGAAGUUGCCUAACUCAGUGCUAGACACACGCAGAGAUCGAAGAUUUCCAAGCUCGAUGGUGGUCUUAUCUCUUGCCUCUGACAGAUUCAAAGACUAAGAAGUCCAAGGCACUAUAUCGCCCUGGCCAGACAGAGGCUGAUGUGGAGCCCUUUGGCGGGUAGCAGUGCUUCUGGGUUGAGGAAGAUAAAAAGGAAGGCACGGUUGAAACUCAACAUAUGUCAGGUCACCUUGAAGGUGUGCUAAAAAAAUAACCCUGGCCUGAAGAGAAAGCUCAGCUCCUCACGUGCCUGCUACAUGGCUAUAAAGACCUGUGUAUAGAUUUUCAGCACCCACGGAUAAUCAGAUGGAUUGACAAAUAAGUACAAAAAGAACAACUUGGAACUCUGCAGUCAUUAAUGUCAAGUCCAACUCCCAUGGAAUCAGUGUCCUCCAGCUUUGAUGUGCACAAGAAAUAUCUGGGUGUCAUAAGAAGAACUUUGUCUACUUCUCCUGAGACAGGGUUUCUCAUUGGUCUGGAACUCACCAAUUAAGCUAGAUUGGUUGAAAGUGAUCCGUUGGGAUCCUCCUAUCUCUAGUGCCCCAGUGCUGGGAUUACACAGGUGUACCACUACGCCUGGCUUUUGUCAGUGUUUUAGGAAUUGAACUUUAGUCCUCAUGUAUGUAAAGUUCAAGGUUCAAGGUUCACAUUUCAUACCCCAGUUCUUUCCCCUCAAAAGAUCCAUUAAAUUGCAAUUUAAUGAUUUUGGGGGAGUGCUUAAAACAAACAAACCAACCAACAAACAAAUAAGCUAAAGUCCUUAAAAACUAUCAACAAAAACUUUGCAGGGGCCACAAUGUGAAAGCCAAGGUUUAGACUACAGGAGAUUUUUGAUGCUGGAACACUCAAAGUGCUAGUAGUUUACAAUAGCAGACGUAUCUCCAUGUUCCUGGGCCCCAGUGGAUCUGCUCCUGGUGCUCACUCCUGAUUUCUGAUGCCCUACUUUAACACCAUACUUCAGGCUUCACUGUGAUGAGCAAGGCUAGGUCUGGACCCUGCAGCAGAAACUCAAAGUUUAGCACCACCUCAACUCUAUCGCCCACCACUCAUUGGUCAGGCUGUUCACCCAGCUCUCCUCCAUUGCAAACACAGGAAAGUGGACAAGGAUACUGCUUCCACUUCCUGGAGGGAGAGCAGAGUCAGCCACAGGGAACAGUGUCUACCACACACAUGGGUUUUCUGUAGAUAACAAACUUUCACUAUUGUAUCUCAUUUUUAUCUCAGUUCUUAUAACCUCUAGCCAAUAAAACCACUGUUAGUCCACGUUCCUCCUGGAUCCCUUUUAGCGUAGUCCAGGUAAAGUCAGCAUGAUUGCACAGAGAAUAGAAGGUGAUAGGAAGAUCUGAGGAGAGCAGGGAAAGCACAAGAGGUAAGUGAGCCAGGACAAAGGAGUUGGGUGACUGAGAAUGAGAGAAAGACAGGGAGGAAGAAAAGGGGGCAGGGGAAAAGAAGUUGUCUUUCCUCCAUGUUUACUAAGCACUGGACAUUGAGCAUUAACUGGUCUUCUAAUUAAUUAAUUUAUUUUUUCAGAGCUGAGACCAAACCCAGGGCCUUGUGCUUGCUAGGCAAGCAUUCUACCACUGAGCUAAAUCCCCAACCAACACUGGCCUUUGAAUAAGAACAUUUACAUGGGUUUGUCCUCAUAAUAAUCUUGCCAGGUUGUCUUUAUUGUGUAGAUGUAAAACAGAGGCUCAAAAGACAUAAAACUCACUGCAGUCAAGACUGUAAGUUGAGUAUCUCUCAGGAAGUCUAAGAAAGGCACUCGCAAAGAAGAAGGCUAAUGGCUUUGAAUGAACCAAUUGUCAUACUUCCUGGAAUUCCUGAGAAUUAGUUUUCAUGCACUAUGUCUAUACUGACAAACAUGUUUGGUAAAAAUAAGCAUCGAGAUUCCAUAGUGGCUCCUACACGGAAUGGCCACAGUCUUCAUGAGAAACCAAGGUUCUUUUCAAGUCCAUCAUCCACAGGCUAAUCCUCUCCUCUCCCCGCCCCCCGCCCCAUUCUCUUGAGCACAUGUAUUGUGGAGGGUUUUCCCAAGUGAAACACUCCCUACUGGAUGGAGGAACACACAAGACUUAGGAAAUGAGCAAAACUUUCAAGUCUCAGAAGGCUUAAAAUUUACAGAAUUCACAAGUUCCCUACCCAAGUUUAUCCACAGUAACAGUUGUGUGUGUGUGUGUGUGUGUGUGUGUGUGUGUGUUUGUGGGGUGUUGCAUUCUAAGGGGAAAAUGUAUCAAGUUGCCUGUAAGUCAUACAUGGAGUGCCAAAGUGGAAGCUUUCAGGAAUGGUCACUAAUACUGAUGUGGACUCUUUGAUAUUGCUGUUACCUGUGUUAUCCAAGUUCUUGUCAAUCCCUCAUACAUCCCCUUGUAACUAAACCCAAUAAAUUUGCUAAAAUAGA